GUGGGGAAUAUUGGACAAUGGGCGAAAGCCUGAUCCAGCCAUGCCGCGUGUGUGAAGAAGGUCUUCGGUUUGUAAAGCACUUUAUGUUGGGAGGAAGGGCAGUAAGUUAAUACCUUGCUGUUUUGACGUUACCGACAGAAUAAGCACCGGCUAACUUCGUGCCAGUAGCCGCGGUAAUACGACGGGUGCAAGCGUUAAACGGAAUUACUGGGCGUAAAGCGCGCGUAGGUGGUUUUGUAAGUUGGAGGUGAAAUCCACUGGCUCAACCUGGAAACUGCCUCCAAAACUGCAUGACUAGAGUACGGUAGAGGGUAGUGGAAUUUCCUGUGUAGCGGUGAAAUGCGUAGAUAUAAGAAGGAACACCAGUGGCGAAGGCGACUACCUGGACUGAUACUGACACUGAGGUGCGAAAGCGUGGGGAGCAAACAGGAUUAGAUACCCUAGUAGUCC
rnacentral:rRNA from 1 species